rnacentral:lncRNA from 13 species
CAUAGUAAAUUAUUUCAUCUUUAUUUAUCAUUGACAAAUAACAAAAAUGAACGAUUAACUGUAUUACAUUGUAUCAUCCAACAUCUUGUGCUGGAAAAUGUCCAAAUUAAGAUUAUUUGAAUUACUCUAGCUUCUGGAAGAUCGUAUCUAUAUUAAAAAAAAAAAAAUCAUAAUUAUUUAAUAAAUUAUUUCUCUUUUAUUAUAUGCAGGUACAUUUUGCCGCAGAGAUGUGGGAGAAACGAACUGAUAUGAGAAAAUUAAAACCAAACGCAAUUCCCACAAUAUUUGGUUAUUUUUAAAAAAAGAAAAACAAAUAAUUGUUAAAAAUAAUGUCACAAAAGUAUUAACUGAAAACAAAAUAAACAUUAAUAUCAAAUCUGCUGAAUUGUAUCAAUCUGUCAACGACAUUCAACUGGAUGAACAUGUUGGCGAUGUGCAAAAACAAGAAUUCCAGGUAAUUAAUAAUAUAUCUGGAUCUGCUGAAACAUAACAGCCUGUCGACGACAUUCAACUGGAUGAACAUGUUGGCAAUGUGCAAAAACAGGAAUUCCAGGCAAUUAAUAAUAUACUUGGAUCUGCUGAAACAUAUCAGCCUGUCGACGACAUUCAACUGGAUGAACAUGGCGAUGUGCGAAAACAGGAACUCCAGGUGAUUGAUAAUGCAUGUGAAUUAUCAACGAUAAGUUCACCUUCAUGUUCAACCGAAUGUAAAGAAAAACAAGAGAAACGAUAUAAGAAAUUGAAGGAUUUUAUCCGAAAGCAGCAAAUAAAUAUUGUUCAAA